rnacentral:rRNA from 1 species
ACUCAAAGGAAUAGACGGGGGCCCGCACAAGCGGAGGAACAUGUGGUUUAAUUCGAUGAUACGCGAGGAACCUUACCCGGGCUCGAACGGUGCAUGAAUAUACGAGAGAUUGUAUAGUCCUUCGGGACAUGUAUCGAGGUGCUGCAUGGUUGUCGUCAGCUCGUGCCGUGAGGUGUCGGCUUAAGUGCCAUAACGAGCGCAACCCUUGUCAUUAGUUGCCAUCAGGUCAAGCUGGGGACUUUAAUGAGACUGCCACCGUAAGGUGUGAGGAAGGGGGGGAUGACGUCAAAUCAGCACGGCCCUUAUGUCCGGGGCGACACACGUGUUACAAUGGGAGGUACAGAGGGCAGCUAUCCGGUGACGGAAUGCUAAUCUCCAAAACCUUUCUCAGUUCGGAUUGGAGUCUGCAACUCGACUCCAUGAAGGUGGAUUCGCUAGUAAUCGCGCAUCAGCCAUGGCGCGGUGAAUACGUUCCCGGGCCUUGUACACACCGCCCGU